rnacentral:tRNA from 1 species
CAGAGAAUAGUUUAAUUUAGAAU